GUGGUGCUCUAGCUCUAUCUGCUAAUCUGUUGUUAGGUUUGUCUACUUUGCUUCUGCCGGCGCUGUCGAUUGGAAUGUGGGGCAGCUAGCAGUGGAUUUAUUAGCAGCAUCAAUGAAAGCUGAGAGAAUUGGAUACUUAGAUGAUCCCUUUGUGCUUCCCUGCAUUGGAAACGAUGCUUAUACCCUAUUCCUUGCGGCGACCUUGCUAUUCCUCUCGAAGCUUACGAAUCGUCUUUCAGUCAUCUCACUCUUCUCCAACAGCGGUCUCUGGUUGUUAUGGGGCGAAUGGUUGAAUUUGCAAA